rnacentral:lncRNA from 1 species
AUGCCCGUCUGCAUGCCCUGGAGCUCCACCCACAUCGCUGGCUGCUCAGGUUGUUUUGAUCUCGUUCCUCACAGUAAGCUGCAGGGGGCGCCAGCAAGCUCAGAGGAGUCGGACCGCAGCAGUCCGGCCCUGACCGACCCGGUGGUAUUCUCUCCUCACCCACAGCAACACAACCGCCGCAGUGAGUACUUGAAAGAGGUGCAGGGUGAACUGACCCACAGAGUAGAGAAUGGUCAGUUUAGCAGGUUUGAGACUGUAAGGGGAGAGAUAAGACUUGUUGCAGGUGGGUUAGCCUUGCUGUGUUCGUGUGUUUCAGGUUGGCCUGGCACCUCCAACUCUGUGGACAUCUGUGAAGGCCUUGAAGACUGGGCCACCGACCUGUCCUUUAUCUCAGACUCUGAUGAGGAGGAUGACAAUGCGGUGGUUCCUGGGAGGUACCGAGCGAUGGUUGACCACUUGAAGUGCGGCAAAGACGACCUCAUUAUAAAGCACGGAGACGUCAUUCAUGUUCUGCAGGAAAACACAGCAGGGCUCUGGCAAGUUAAAAACCUGACCCGAGGAGGAGAAGGAAGGCUUCCUGUUGAUACCCUGCUGAGAAUUCUGGGAAAUGUAGGCAGAAGUCAUGUGAUCAGCCCAGGAGGUGAGUUUGUGGCAAGGAAAAUCUGA